rnacentral:sRNA from 1 species
CUCGUACACGCCGAACACGCUCUACUAAAUAUAAAUGCCAACAAUAUCAAAUACAAUCUCAACUAUCCAAGCUGCGUUUUGGCAGUGGCAAGGAAUGGCAUUCUCCUUCCUUUAAAAGUAG